AUUUAAAUAGCUUAAAUGUAGAGUAUAACGUUGAAGAUGUUAGGGUGAUUAGUAAUAUCUUUAAAUA
rnacentral:tRNA from 1 species